rnacentral:rRNA from 1 species
ACAGCAGUCGCCACGGGAAUACGAAGGGGGCUAGCGUUGCUCGGAAUGACUGGGCGUAAAGGGCGCGUAGGCGGAUGACACAGUCAGAUGUGAAAUUCCCGGGCUUAACCUGGGGGCUGCAUUUGAUACGUGUUGUCUAGAGUGAGGAAGAGGGUUGUGGAAUUCCCAGUGUAGAGGUGAAAUUCGUAGAUAUUGGGAAGAACACCGGUGGCGAAGGCGGCAACCUGGUCCUUUACUGACGCUGAGGCGCGAAAGCGUGGGGAGCAAACAGGAUUAGAUACCCGCGUAGUCCCUGUCUCUUAUAC